GCUGCCGAGGCACCGGGCGCGGCCAGAGACGGGCCGGCACUGGGUGGAUCCGCGGCGGCGACGACUGGAGGCGACGGUCGCGGCCAGAGACGGGCCAGCGCGGGGCGGCUGCCUCAAGUGAAGAACUGGUGGGAGGCGUCGGGAUCCGCGGCAGCCCACUGCUGGAGGCGAGCUGCGACGUCGAUGGUGACGGGGAGGCGCGGUGAGUGCAUAAAUCGAGCUACCCAUUGUAGGCUGUGGCGCAUUGCCUCACCCCCUCGUGUCUCCUCCUCAGAGGCCCCAAACCGUCGUCAUCGCGCCCCUCUCCCGCGACCUACCCAGCCGGAGGUAGAGGAGCAGCGAGGGGCGGCGCUGGGACGGAGGUGGAGGGAGCAGCGACGAGCGGCUCUUGGGGUGGCGCUGGGUGAAGGGGUGCUGGGGGCAGGCCGACUGGUGCCGGCCGCACUCCCUUGGCCAUGCCCUCGCUCGUCGUCAUCCUGAUCUCCUCUUCCCCAACCGGAGUGGAUUGGCAGACAUGGACAUGGCCAGAGGAGGCACGGAGAGAUCAUCUGCUCUAGAUCUACAUAUAUCUUUGGAUUCUGAAUUGAUUUGCCCGUCUGUUGUUCAUGAUAAUUUGCUACUCCAUUUGUAGCUUUGGCAUGGAUUUGACCAAACAGAAGAACCAUAGGAAGCUGAUUUGGAGGAAUGCCAUUGUAUGCAAUUUCGUAGUGCUAGAUAUCGCUGAAAUUAAAAGUUAUAUCAAUCCUGUUGCUUCUCUAUGUUCUUCGGCUGCUUCGACAUGCCAAACGCAAAAGCUGAGGUUCUACGGCAUUUGCCUUGCUGCAUAGGAUGUUGUGGAAGAUGAGCUGAGAACUGACAUCAUCAUUAGUGCGAGCGACUAUUGAUGGAUCUUGAGACAGGAGCCAACGCUGCUGGUACCGACAACGGCAUGCAGGUACGACGGCGGCUGGAUGGGAUUUGAGAAGAGAGGCAAGGCUGGAUGGUGACUUGUGACGCAGCUGCACAAGCAUCGUCAGGUGUCCACCAAGGGUGUGUUAUUUGGUGUCCCGCUUCUUUCCUUCCAGGCACGUCAUCCCCCUAUCGACAGGCUCAACCUUCUUUUGGUCUUGCUAUCUUGCUGUGAGGUGGCAUCGUUUUUGGUAAAAAUCAUUGCUCUCAAGGUGGCGAGGAGGAUCUCCAAAGCAAGAUGUUCCUUUACAUGGAAUUCUAUUCAACCAUCGCAAGUUCUUGGAUAUAUUCCAUUUAGAUGGAUUCAGCUAUGUGCAGCACUCAAAGUUGCUGUGCAAGGUGAAGAUCGAUCUGCAGAUCGCGGAAUUCAUGCUGAUGGUGGUCCCCUGAUCCCUGCUUACCAAGGAGGUUAAGAUGACAUGAUUCAGCCCAAAAUGGGUUGGCAUUUUCAUCUGCUUAGUUUACUUAAAGAGGGUAGAAGCUGGUCAUGAUGGCCACUGGAAGUCUGAUAGAGUGAAGAAUAAAAAGGCUGGAAAGACCAUUGAUAAUGUGGUAACAGAAGAAUUGGAGGUGCCUUCUGGUAAUAAUAAAUCUGGCAGAAAGGUUUUUGCUGAUGUAGCCAUGUGGGUGGGUUUGAACCGGCUUGGUUUUCUGCUAAGGCCCUUGAUAUAGACUAGCAUAGUGCAUUCAUCAGCUAUGAGGUCCACAGAGAAGUCCGCAACUAAGACAUGAUAACUCCUGAAUGGAGGGCAACUUCAGGUCAAGUUAACAGAAUUAGGUGACAACUUGUUGAUAUCUCCUUCAAGACUGUACCUCAAAACAACAGUGCCAUGGAGUUCUGUUGUCGGUGACUGGUGUCUGCUAAACCAUGUGAUAAGACAAUGCAUCGCUCCUGUCCUGGUCUUGCUCCUUUUUGGUCGUUCUUGUGGUGGCGCUGGGCCGGAUGUGGAGGAGCAGCGAGGGACGGCGCUGGGCCGGAGGAGGAGGAGAAGUGAGGGCGGAGCUAGGCCGCAGGUGGAGGAGCAGCGAGCGGCUCUUGGGGUGGCGUUGGGUGAAGGAGGUGCUGGGCACAGGCCGAGCAGUGCUGGCCGCCCUCCCUCGGCCAUGCCCUCGCCCAUCGCUGUCCUGGUCGCCUCUUCCCCAACCCUAUUCUAUAAGCAGAGCAAGUUCCCCCCAAGCAGCUUGCUUUACUCAUCAAAAAACAAGUACUCAAAUUGAUUUUAGAUCACGCUUGAGAAGUUUGUCCCCAAAUUAAAAAUUUACUGUUGAAAUGUAGUCAAGCCAGACCUUUUGUGAUUCUAAAGGAGUAGUCUGUUGUGGGUCAAAAUAAUUGGUAUUUUUGCUUUGAUCAGUUUCAUUGCAGUCAAAAUAAUUGAUAUUUUUUUGGUGGUAAUAUGGAUGCACUUGCUGUUGCUGGUAUUACCUAAUAAUACGACUAAUCAUGCACAUGCCAUCUUCAUCUGAUAUUAUGUCUUUCAUUUAUUUAUGUUUGAUUUGACCCUCCAUCUUUCAACGACUUUCUUAUGGAAUACUAAACCAAACUCAGUUUACUUUGAUGCUAAUUUAUUUAGCUCUUUGUUCCAUUGCAGGAGAUUAUCAACUCACUUUUUGUUUAUAGGAAAAUUUAUUGAGACUCAAGAGUCAAGACAAAGGCAACAAAAUUUUGAAGUUGUGUUCUACCACUUCCCACAAUAAAUAAAAGAAACUAUAGAAAGAAGGUCAACUCAUUGUUCUUCAAUCUGUUCAAUUAAUGGAUCUUGGCUACGGCAUCUGGUGAUGCAACUAUUAAGUAUUUUACUUGUGAAAACUAUCAAGAAGCUUGCAUACUUCCGACAACUUUUGCAGCUGUAGGGGCGAUGUCUUUCAGGUUGUGUGGAAUCCAAAUUUGGAGACUGUUGGCCUUUGAUGCUGCGGACAAAAGGGUGAUGAGAUGGGAUGUUAGUAGACUACUACAGGAGGUAGUGCAGAUAUCUAUCCAUGGAGCUCGAUGAACUGUGGUACUUAGUUAACAGCGACACCCUUCAGUUAGGUUAUAAAAUCCUUAGUUAUUGGAGCCAUUCAUAUGCGCUGAUAAGGAAGAAGGUUUUCUUGUGUUACUUUAUGACUUUUCCCUUUGACCAUCGAAUGGUACCUAUUUUGUAUAUGCUGGUGUAUAAUACUUGUUCCGGUAUAUGUUUGUUCUUCGCACACAGUGCAGAUAGAGCUGAAUCUUGACAAACUUUGCAGUAAUAAAA